rfam:Cavia porcellus supercont2_65 genomic scaffold, whole genome shotgun sequence.
GGGGAUUUAGCUCAGUGGCUCAAGCGCUUGCCUGGUAAGCAAGAGGUCAUGAGUUCAGUCCCUG